GACGAACGCUGGCGGCGUGCCUAACACAUGCAAGUCGAGCGGAGAUAUGUAGAGGAAGUUUUCGGAUGGAGUUUAUAUAUUUUAGCGGCGGACGGGUGAGUAACGCGUGAGGAACCUGCCCUUUACAGGGGGAUAACGCACCGAAAGGUGCACUAAUACCGCAUGAGACCACAGCACCGCAUGGUGCAGGGGUCAAAGGAGUAAUCCGGUGAAGGAGGGACUCGCGUCCGAUUAGAUAGUUGGUGAGGUAACGGCUCACCAAGUCAACGAUCGGUAGCCGACCUGAGAGGGUGAUCGGCCACAUUGGAACUGAGACACGGUCCAAACUCCUACGGGAGGCAGCAGUGGGGAAUAUUGGGCAAUGGGGGGAACCCUGACCCAGCGACGCCGCGUGAGGGAAGAAGGUUUUCGGAUUGUAAACCUCUGUCCUUGGUGAAGAGAAGAAGACGGUAGCCAAGGAGGAAGCCCCGGCUAACUACGUG
rnacentral:rRNA from 1 species